rnacentral:rRNA from 1 species
UACGUAGGCAGCGAGCGUUGUUCGGAGUUACUGGGCGUAAAGAGUGCGUAGGCGGUUUUCUAAGUUUGGUGUGAAAUCUCCCGGCUCAACUGGGAGGGUGCGCCGAAGACUGGAAGGCUUGAGUAUGGGAGAGGUAAGCGGAAUUCCUGGUGUAGCGGUGAAAUGCGUAGAUAUCGGGAAGAACACCCGUGGCGAAGGCGGUUCUCUGGGACGGUACUGACGCUGAGACGCGAAAGCGUGGGGAGCGAACAGG